AUGGCCUAAUUUCUUCAAGCACCUGGCACAAUUAACAUGUAUAUGAUACGCUAACUAGAUUAUGAUACAGCAAGUGGGUGCAAUUUUUGAGUAUGUACUUUGUCUAUCAUUGGGUGACGACAUGUGCAAAAGAGUAUAUGCCAUUUGACAGGUACAUGGAUCUUCAUGUAAAGCAGCCUUGAAUCACAAACUAUCUCAACUAGAAAUUCCAGGGAUUCUAAGGGAAAAAAGUAAACCAUUAUUAAAAAGCCUGUUGCUUUUCUCACCCCCUUGGACUUGACAAAAAUGCCCCUACACCAAAAAUGUAUGCAGUAUAAAUUCUUUUCAAAGUUAAGCUACCAUAAGAAUUUAUUCAUAUCUCUAAUAAAGUAACUUAUGCAAACGUUAUAGCACCAAAACAAUUACAAAAGUCAAAGCAGCUCUUUUUGUUUUGGUUGGUGGCCAGUUUUUGUGGCCCAUAGAAGCCAGCCAGUUGCCUAAAUAAUAGAGGUAUCACUCCCACUGCAUAAAAUCUUCCUUUUAUAUGUUCACAAACACUAAUUUCCCUAAUUUAAGCAGCUAUAUAGAUUGAUGGAGAGUAAAUGUCCACUCUGGCUGCGUUUGGUGCACAAGAAAUGCAAAGGGACACAACAAGUUAAAUAACUGCCCCAUCCUUUUUUUGGUACAUGUAGGACAUAACAAAUUAGUUAUCCAAUUCUGUGUUUGGUAGUUUUUAGACAAAACUAGACAAAGGGAAAAAAUGGCAAUAACACCAUUUAUUUAUUUAUCCUUGUUGUGUUGUAAUUAACAGGACAUGAUAACAUUGAAUAGUGAAAAUGGCAGAGCAAAACCUAUUCGCAUGCACUGUAAUUGUGUGUGCAUGUGUGUGUGUGUGUAGAAAACAUUGAUCAAACCAACUAACUAUUGGCUGGAGUGGCAGAAAAUGGCAGAAAGAAACCUAAGCGCGUGCUAGCAAUUUCACCUUUGGAGGCUAAUGUAACAAGAUUGAAACCACUUUGAGGUGUAUAAUAAAGAAAUGAAAAAAACUCUAGAUAUAAAUGGAGAACAAACAGGUAAAAGGGUACAAACAGGUAAAAGGGUAUCCCUAGUGCAAGAGGCAAAAACAGGAAUUAAUUGCAAAAGCAAAUGUUUAAGAAGAAAGAAUCACAAAUAAAAGGUAAAUGAAAGAAACUAAUUCAGAAUUCCUUAAGCACAUAAAGGACCGGCAAUGAUUUUUCAGGAACCAAAAAGAGAUAUUCUCUUAAGCAAAACUAUUUCUCGGCACUCUAGAAGGUAUUGGAAAACAAUGUUUGAAAACCUAUGUGUUAUUGGACAUAGGUAGAAAAAGAAAAAGUAAUUAGACAUUAAUGAAAAAUUCAGAUAAGGAGCAAAUGAUGAUGUUUAAUCAGCAUAGAAGUGAGAUCUUAACCAUCUAUUCACUUCUUUCAAUUCCUCCCCAUGUGAGUAGUUUUAAGAACUCUAUGCAGUAAGAAGCAUAAUAUGAUCAAAAUAUUUCAAACAGCAAUAAUGCAAAACCACAUUUAGCAAACACAUAGUUAAUAGCAUAUCAUAUAAUGAAUAAGUUUAAACACUAAGGUUAAAGGCUGUCAUGUGAUUACCUUCUCUAUAUUUUCUUCAU
rnacentral:misc_RNA from 1 species